GACGAACGCUGGCGGCGUGCUUAACACAUGCAAGUCGAACGGAAAGGCCCUGCUUUUGUGGGGUGCUCGAGUGGCGAACGGGUGAGUAACACGUGAGUAACCUGCCCUUGACUUUGGGAUAACUUCAGGAAACUGGGGCUAAUACCGGAUAGGAGCUCCUGCUGCAUGGUGGGGGUUGGAAAGUUUCGGCGGUUGGGGAUGGACUCGCGGCUUAUCAGCUUGUUGGUGGGGUAGUGGCUUACCAAGGCUUUGACGGGUAGCCGGCCUGAGAGGGUGACCGGCCACAUUGGGACUGAGAUAGGGACCAGACUCCAACGGGAGGCAGCAGUGGGGAAUAUUGCACAAUGGGCGGAAGCCUGAUGCAGCAACGCCGCGUGCGGGAUGACGGCCUUCGGGUUGUAAACCGCUUUCGCCUGUGACGAAGCGUGAGUGACGGUAAUGGGUAAAGAAGCACCGGCUAACUACGUG
rnacentral:rRNA from 1 species